rnacentral:rRNA from 1 species
AACGAACGCUGGCGGCGUGGAUAAGACAUGCAAGUCGAACGGGACAGGUAGCAAUAUCUGUCUAGUGGCGAACGGGUGCGUAACACGUGGGCAACAUGCCUGGAAGAGCGGGAUAGCCCGGGGAAACUCGGAUUAAUACCGCAUGUGACAACGGGGCGGCUUCGCCCUGUUUUCAAAGGUGGGGACCGCAAGGCCUGCCGCUUCCAGAUUGGCCCGCGGCCUAUCAGCUAGUUGGCGGGGUAAAAGCCCACCAAGGCGACGACGGGUAGCUGGUCUGAGAGGACGACCAGCCACACUGGAACUGAGACACGGUCCAGACACCUACGGGUGGCAGCAGUCGAGAAUCUUUCACAAUGGGGGAAACCCUGAUGGAGCGACGCCGCGUGGAGGAUGAAGGUCUUCGGAUUGUAAACUCCUGUCAUGAAAGAACAAGCGAUGCGGGUGAACAGCCCGCAAAGUUGAUAGUAUUUCAAGAGGAAGGGACGGCUAACUUCGUGCCAGCCGCCGCGGUAAUAC